GCAAAACUCAAAUACUUCCCUCUUUCUAUUUCCAGACGCGCGAAUAUCUGACAACCGUACAUCAAGAACAACGGAGAAAGCCUCGAACCCCAACAGAUUCCGUAGGAUUUGAGGUGGAGCUUCAGAUCUCGAUCCGGAAAUGCGACGAUGGCGUGAAAGAAAAUGAAGAUUUCAGAUCUCUCGUCUGGAUUCUAAACCCUAGAUACCAAGAUGUCUAACAAUGUUAAGGAGUCCAAAGGUGAAGUACACAAGGGCAUGGAUGUUGCCGUAUCAUCUGCAGAAGUCCAAACAACCUGGCACGUCACCCUCUCAAACAUCCUACAGCAGGCAUCAGUAUAUGGAAUAGCUGCUGGGUACUGCAUUUCAGCAUCACUCUUGUCCAUAAUCAACAAGUGGGCCAUCAUGGUAUUCCCUUAUCCUGGGGCCUUGACAGCUCUACAAUACUUCACAAGUGCAUUUGGUGUCCUGUUAUGUGGAUGGUUGAAGCUCGCGGAGCAUGAUCCACUCGAGCUAAAGACCAUGUGGAGGUUCCUACCUGCAGCAAUCAUUUUCUACCUCUCCCUCUUCACAAACAGCGAGCUCCUGCUCCAUGCAAAUGUUGACACCUUCAUCGUUUUCCGCUCAGCAGUCCCUAUAUUUGUAGCUGUAGGAGAAACUGUCUACCUAAACCAGCCUUGGCCAUCUCUCAAGACAUGGCUUUCGCUUGCCACCAUAUUUGGGGGUAGCGUCAUUUACGUGCUGACAGACACUCGGUUCACAUUGAUGGCAUACAGUUGGGCUUUGGCUUAUCUUGUGAGCAUGUCGAUAGAUUUCGUUUAUAUAAAGCAUGUGGUGAUGACUAUCGGCCUGAACACAUGGGGUUUGGUGCUUUACAACAACCUUGAGGCUCUUUUUCUAUUCCCACUGGAGCUGCUUAUAAUGGGCGAGCUGAAGAAGAUAAAGCACGAUAUCAAGGACGACUCAUCUUGGCAUUCUUUGGGCGUGGUUUUUCCAGUGGGUUUGUCCUGCUUGUUUGGUUUGGCCAUCUCCUUUUUUGGGUUCUCUUGCAGACGGGCGAUUUCUGCAACGGGCUUUACUGUGCUCGGUAUAGUCAAUAAGCUCUUGACUGUUGUGAUAAAUCUACUCAUCUGGGACAAGCAUUCUACCAUUGUGGGGACUGUUGGUCUUUUGAUAUGCAUGCUUGGUGGGGUUCUUUAUCAGCAGUCCGCAACCAAACCAAAGGCCGCUGCUGAAACAGAAGUGGUGGCAAGAGUUGGUGAUGAGGAGCAACAGCAACUUCUGGAAAUGGAAUCCACAUCAGAAGCAAACACUACUGAAAAGCCUGUUGGUUGAUUCAGUAGAGGUGGUUCUCACUGUGGAAGAUUGCAGAGGCAAUUUCACCUGCUGGAUUCCUGCUAGAAGAUACUGAAAGUGGCUAAUUGGAAGCUGUGCACUUUGUGGCCACUUGUCAGGUGGGAACACAGAGAACAUGCCCCGGCCCAAAAAUCAGGCUGCUUUUCUUGUCAGUCACCUGUUCGAUGGUCAAGAUAAUUAAUCAGUGCAAUUUCAUGUUAUACUCUGUCUGCGAUGGUCCCUGCAAUUUGAUGGCAUCGAUCAGAGUGCAAGUAUACCAAUGUACAGACGGUUCCUACAAUUAUCAUCAAUAGGCACAGAUAGCCUACCAUCUAGUAAGUUGGAUGGCCAUUGAAUGGAUGGUUAGAAGGGUUGAAAUCAGUUCAGGAGCUGUGGUUUUGGAGCUUUGAUUAGAGCCUACAAUCUCGACAGUCUGCAUUAGUGUGGAUGCACCAGUAAAUUGAGCUAGUGGGGUGGCUGUUGCAGCAAUUUUCAGCUUCUUCCUGAAUGGCAACGACCCAUCUGCCUAUCAUUCGAAUGACACAUUCAAUCCUCACAACCUGAACAAAAUGAUAGACUCUGCGAGGAUCAAAUCGAAUUCCUUCAGCACUUAAGAGCUGAGAAUCUGCAAGACAGGCUUCUUC